AUACCAGCACCCCGAGUGGUCGGGACGAUUAUUGGGCCUAAAGCAUCCGUAGCCGGUUCUACAAGUCUUCCGUUAAAUCCACCUGCUUAACAGAUGGGCUGCGGAGGAUACUAUGGAGCUAGGAGGCGGGAGAGGCAAGCGGUACUUAGUGGGUAGGGGUAAAAUCCGUUGAUCCAUUGAAGACCACCAGUGGCGAAGGCGGCUUGCCAGAAUGCGCUCGACGGUGAGGGAUGAAAGCUGGGGGAGCAAACCGGAUUAGAUACCCGGGUAGUCCCAGCUGUAAACGAUGCAGACUCGGUGAUGGACUAGCUUUAUGCUAGUCCAGUGCCGCAGGGAAGCCGUUAAGUCUGCCGCCUGGGUAGUACGGUCGCAAGACUGAAACUUAAAGGAAUUGACGGGG
rnacentral:rRNA from 1 species